rnacentral:rRNA from 1 species
CCUACGGGAGGCAGCAGUGGGGGAUAUUGCACAAUGGGGGGAACCCUGAUGCAGCGACGCCGCGUGGGUGAAGGAGUAUUUCGGUAUGUAAAGCCCUAUCGGCAGGGAAGAAAUUGGACGGUACCUGACUAAGAAGCCCCGGCUAACUACGUGCCAGCAGCCGCGGUAAUACGUAGGGGGCAAGCGUUAUCCGGAUUCACUGGGUGUAAAGGGAGCGUAGACGGCCAUGCAAGCCAGGGGUGAAAGCCCGGGGCCCAACCCCGGGACUGCCCUUGAAACUGCAUGGCUGGAGUGUGGGAGGGGCAGGCGGAAUUCCUGGUGUAGCGGUGAAAUGCGUAGAUAUCAGGAGGAACACCGGCGGCGAAGGCGGCCUGCUGGACCGCGACUGACGUUGAGGCUCGAAAGCGUGGGGAGCGAACAGGAUUAGAUACCCGAGUAGUC